UCAGGCUGUAAAGCAAAAUAAGAAAAAUAAAAAUAUUAGAUUGUAACCCACCUACCUUCCUUUCUGCUUCCUCCUUAGCAAGCUUCUCUGCUACAAGCUUCUUGUGCCCCAAUAGCACUGGUCCCCACAAAUCAACCAAAGCUUUCACAUUCUCCAUCUCUUCAGCCAAAAAACAAGAAAAUUGAUGUGGGUAUGCACUUGGAACUUGGAAUUUCUCUUUCGUGUGGAUGUGCACUUGGA
rnacentral:misc_RNA from 1 species